rnacentral:tRNA from 1 species
GGGGAUAAAGCUCAGAGAUAGAGUACUUGCCUAGAACAUGCAAGGCCCUGGGUUCAAUCCCCAGUAGCACUA